AUGAACGCUGGCGGCGUGCCUAAUACAUGCAAGUCGAGCGAACGGACGAGAAGCUUGCUUCUCUGAUGUUAGCGGCGGACGGGUGAGUAACACGUGGAUAACCUACCUAUAAGACUGGGAUAACUUCGGGAAACCGGAGCUAAUACCGGAUAAUAUUUUGAACCGCAUGGUUCAAAAGUGAAAGACGGUCUUGCUGUCACUUAUAGAUGGAUCCGCGCUGCAUUAGCUAGUUGGUAAGGUAACGGCUUACCAAGGCAACGAUGCAUAGCCGACCUGAGAGGGUGAUCGCCCACACUGGAACUGAGACACGUUCCAGACUCCUACGGGAGGCAGCAGUAGGGAAUCUUCCGCAAUGGGCGAAAGCCUGACGGAGCAACGCCGCGUGAGUGAUGAAGGUCUUCGGAUCGUAAACCUCUGUUAUUAGGGAAGAACAUAUGUGUAAGUAACUGUGCACAUCUUGACGGUACCUAAUCAGAAAGCCACGGCUAACUACGUG
rnacentral:rRNA from 1 species